UUUUUAUUUUCUUUUAUUAUUGAUCUCUGAAAUUUCAGUUGUUUCAAGAACUACCUGAAUCAGCUGUAACACAGACAGUGUUUAGCGUCUUGAGACCAAAUAAUGUUGAAGCUGACAGCGGGAACUAUUUCAGGUCUGCAAGCUGAUUCUUAGUGAUUCAUCAGGUAUGACGGUGCUUAUCAGAGGUUAAUACCGAAAGAAAGACUGAGAAAGGUUCCACUUAAAGCCAAACAUAGAGGAACCAUUUCUUUGGGUUGCUGUUCCCAAGGGCCAAUUACCUCAUGUUCAUCAAGAGGUCACUGCUACAUAUUAACGCUGGUAGACAAUACUGCUACAGUAGCAGAAAUAUUGUAGAGCAUCUACUCAAGGCAAGGAUUUCCUCAUAAAUGCUUGCUGAUAGAGGAACUCCAAUUACCUCAGAGGUAAUGAAGGAAGUUAGCCGACUUUUUUCAAUCCGUAUCAUCCACAGUGUUAGUCCAGGCCUGCCAGCCGCUGUGCAGCGCCAGAUCGACGAGGCUCCAUCCCUUUGAUUGUUGAACGCCAAACUGGGUAGCAGCAACUUCCAUCUUUUAAUGUCUUUUCAUCCAACACGGCUGGGGUUUAAACUUUCGACCCCCCCCCGGUUGUGAGACAGAUGCUCUACCAACUGACCCAACACACCGGUAGGGAAGGCGGGGUAAGUUGAGCCACCAUCCCCAGGCCAAUAAUGAA
rnacentral:lncRNA from 1 species